rnacentral:lncRNA from 1 species
AAAGGGUUAUACCUUACUACAGUAGUUUUCUUGAUUAUUUAUACGAGAAGAUGAUUGGAUAUUAAUGUGAUUAUUAAAAACAAAAUAUUGUUUGACUUAUUUUGAAUACAGCAUCAGAUAUUUAUUGGCAAAAAAACAUUCUGUAUUGUUCUUAAGCAUUUCUAUUUAGUAAACUUAGUUUGCAGAGACUUUCACCAUGUCACAGUAUGUGUAUGUGACAAAACGGGAAAUGCUAGAAAAAUGUAUUACUAUUGGUUUGUGAAUGAGUGUGUAAGAGAGAGGGUGCAGGAUGCUCUUAAUGUAUUGUCUCAAUAUCACUUUCAAAUAAAGAUGUUUGAAAUAGUGUCUGCAAUCUACAUUUUUGAUCUGCCUAAAUAGCUGCUGGCUUCAGCAGAACAUUAAUGCAAAUCUAAUGUACCUGCUGGUAUGAUUAGCUGAAUCAAAUGAUGGCAUUUAAGUAACACCUAAAUAAUCUUAAUUAGGAUCUUCAACUCAUCUUACCACUUAGAACUCUACAGAUGGAUAGUCUUAAUUAUCAGCCUUUUGAUUAGGAUAACAGCCCUAAUCAAGAUGAUGUGGGCCUGAUAGACAGAGUAUCAGUAAAUUAAUGACUGCUGUUAAGUGGGAACAUAAGCAAAAAAUAUAGAGCCGCUUUCUGUGAGAGACAGGGUGAUGUCUAUGCAAGGAAAUUUAAAUUGUUAGCAAAAAGAUCAGAGCAAAUAAUUGUAAAUUGGGAUUA